rnacentral:rRNA from 1 species
UACGUAGGGUGCGAGCGUUAAUCGGAAUUACUGGGCGUAAAGCGUGCGCAGGCGGUUUUGUAAGCCAGAUGUGAAAUCCCCCGGGCUUAACCUGGGAAUGGCAUUUGGGACUGCAAGGCUGGAGUGCGGCAGAGGAGACUGGAAUUCCUGGUGUAGCAGUGAAAUGCGUAGAUAUCAGGAGGAACACCGAUGGCGAAGGCAGGUCUCUGGGCUGACACUGACGCUCAUGCACGAAAGCGUGGGAGCAAACAGG